GCGGCGGACGGGUGAGUAACACGUGGGUAACCUGCCCAUAAGACUGGGAUAACUCCGGGAAACCGGGGCUAAUACCGGAUAACAUUUUGAACCGCAUGGUUCGAAAUUGAAAGGCGGCUUCGGCUGUCACUUAUGGAUGGACCCGCGUCGCAUUAGCUAGUUGGUGAGGUAACGGCUCACCAAGGCAACGAUGCGUAGCCGACCUGAGAGGGUGAUCGGCCACACUGGGACUGAGACACGGCCCAGACUCCUACGGGAGGCAGCAGUAGGGAAUCUUCCGCAAUGGACGAAAGUCUGACGGAGCAACGCCGCGUGAGUGAUGAAGGCUUUCGGGUCGUAAAACUCUGUUGUUAGGGAAGAACAAGUGCUAGUUGAAUAAGCUGGCACCUUGACGGUACCUAACCAGAAAGCCACGGCUAACUACGUGCCAGCAGCCGCGGUAAUACGUAGGUGGCAAGCGUUAUCCGGAAUUAUUGGGGCGUAAAGCGCGCGCAGGUGGUUUCUUAAGUCUGAUGUGAAAGCCCACGGCUCAACCGUGGAGGGUCAUUGGAAACUGGGAGACUUGAGUGCAGAAGAGGAAAGUGG
rnacentral:rRNA from 1 species